CGAAGACAUCCCGAGUGGCCUCGUCUGGUGACGAGGCGCAGCAACCUGCCAACGACCGGCAAGGUGCUUGUGCGCAGCGGCGCAGAUGUGGCCACGCAAGGUUGCGAGGCAACGAACAGUCGCCCCG
rnacentral:ncRNA from 1 species